rnacentral:rRNA from 1 species
AUUGAACGCUGGCGGCAGGCUUAACACAUGCAAGUCGAGCGGAGAUGAGGUGCUUGCACCUUAUCUUAGCGGCGGACGGGUGAGUAAUGCUUAGGAAUCUGCCUAUUAGUGGGGGACAACAUUCCGAAAGGAAUGCUAAUACCGCAUACGUCCUACGGGAGAAAGCAGGGGAUCUUCGGACCUUGCGCUAAUAGAUGAGCCUACGUCGGAUUAGCUAGUUGGUGGGGUAAAGGCCUACCAAGGCGACGAUCUGUAGCGGGUCUGAGAGGAUGAUCCGCCACACUGGGACUGAGACACGGCCCAGACUCCUACGGGAGGCAGCAGUGGGGAAUAUUGGACAAUGGGGGGAACCCUGAUUCAGCCAUGCCGCGUGUGUGAAGAAGGCCUUAUGGUUGUAAAGCACUUUAAGCGAGGAGGAGGCUACUGAGACUAAUACUCUUGGAUAGUGGACGUUACUCGCAGAAUAAGCACCGGCUAACUCUGUGCCAGCCGCCGCGGUAAGAC